UGCAGCUCUCAGCCAAGUACUUGCUUUUAAAUUUUAAUGCUUCCGGUGUUUCCCUUUCCCCUCCGCCCUCUAGUCUGAAAUCCUGAAGGUAAGACAAUGUACAACUGGAGAAGAUGUCUUCAAUCUGACUGAUGAAUAUUUUGAAGAAACUUAGAUAGAUUGGUCUUGUUGCUAAGCAUCAGAUCUGAUGGGGCCACAUCAAUGAUGGUUCACACAGGGUGUUAGGAGGGAGCAAGAGGAAUCUACGCCUUUACUCUGGAGCCAUGGAAAUAAACCUAGACUAAGGAAAAGACUGGCUCCAUUUUCAUCCCUUCCUCAAUGUGUGGACAGUGACUUUAACAGAACCCACAUGGACAGCUGGGAAAACCACCAACACAAUACAGGACCAAAGGGCACCCCCUGAUUAUGGGAAAAAGGACACAGUCAGACCAGGAAACCAACACAACCCACAAACCCAGGCCACAACGCAAAAUACUUUCUCUCUCAAGAACAAAAAGGAGAAAACCUGGGAGAAGUACUAAUAAUGACACACCAGACUGAACACAACAAACCCACCCCCUAGUCAGGAUCCCAACCUGGUCACAAACAAAUGUGCCACAACACAGGAGCAGACCCACUAACAGGACACAACAACUCGUGGGGGUUGACAACACUUAGCACCAAACUGGGGCCCACAAGGGAACCCAGACUAUGGAAAAUCCCUCCCCCCACACUCAAAACCACCCACGACCCCUUCGCAAACCCCCAAACGAGGCAAUCAGAACAUAGGGAACUACCACAGCUAUCAACAGAGGGGAGACCAACACUGAGCACUACAACAACCGCCUAGAAACUACACAUACCCAAGGGGCAAAACACCAUCAUCGACACUUCCAUCCCACCACCCCUUGGUUUCAACAGGCUCAGUGUGGUUCCAACACGGGUCACACGCCAUAGAGCCCCCAAACUCACAGCAACCAGAGAGAGGCAAAAGAGACUCACCCCAAUUCACAACCCCCACAGCAGCUGAAACCAACAGGCCCAGAAAGCCCAGGGAGGGAGAAACAGGGAGGCCACAUGGGAGAAACGAGCCACACCACCCACCAGGACUUGAGAUCUCACAUCAAAACAAGACAACACAUACACGAACAAGAACAUAAGAGGGAGAGAGUGGUGAGACUUCAUAAAGAGCACGAGGGGGAGAGGAGGAGACAAUUGGUGAGUGACAGGGAAGACAUCCCAGAACAAUGCCGAGAUAUUGCGGACUGGCGGAGGACCAGCCCGUCUUCUAAUCCUGAGUAGAUAUAAGCAAGAGUCCCUAGAGCUGGAGAGGCACCAUCCGCCAAGGUCAAUCAGCUGCAGUGAGGUUGGGGUGCCAUAGGGAGGAACCUGCAAACAAGCGGUGUCUGCUGUCAGCAUCCCAAGAAUUGGAGAACAUCAGUGCUGACAAAAAUCAAAUGCCGGACUUUGAGAAAAAUGCCGGUGAAAAACAAGACACCCAGCGUGCUUAACUGCUUCUUGAGGACUACUGUUCAAAGCUGAAGAAACCGAUAAUAGUAAAACUUCUUCAUAAUGAAAUCCCAAAAACUACAUGUACUUCCAACGGAAGGGAAUACUACUUCAGUAAAUCUGCUGAACCUUGGGCGAUGUAAUUCGAUUCUCCUGUGGUUUCAUAGUUUUAGCUUGAGAAUAAGGCUGCUGAAGAUACACCAGUGUUGAGGAAGACCACUGUAGUGGAGACAACAUCCCCUGCACAGAACUGCAGAGUGAUGAGGAGGCUGGAGACUGCAUAUGCGUCCAGAGUAUGUGCUCUCUUGAUUCUCAUUUGCAAAUUAUCUUCGACAGUUAAAAUGAAACCAUCUGAUGGCUGUGACUUCACAUUUUUUAAAUUCCUAUUUCUCUGCUCUAGAAGAAGAAGGCUGCUGUAGUGAAGGAGAACCCAAAGAAUCAGCUCGAGGUCAUCCUGAAUGAGAGGCCCUUGCAAAGGGUCAAGGGCAAUAAGACUGAAAAGCCGAUGUUCGCGCUGAGCAACAGGAGGUACCUGAACACCCCUCCAGCCCCACCCAAUCACAGCUGCAAAAGAGGGAGAGGAAGAUCUUGAAGCUGUGGUAGAAAGUUGCACACCUGGGGGAAGAAAUUUCAUCAGAGGGUGGAGGUGCUCAAGGUGCAGAACUUAAAGCUUGAAAAUGCACUGUUAGAGUCAGGAAUUUUAUAAUCACUUACAUCCCUUUCUGUAGCUAAAGCAGCAUCAAGUGUAAAAUUUGCAUUGGUUCAGUAGCAUCCUGGAAUGGCGCAAACUAUUCUCCAUCAUUGAAGUUCAAGAGCUGCAGGAGCCCCAACAACGUCAAGGCAGAGUCACCUCCCCCCCAAGUGCUUUGGAGACACAGCCAUGGACCUGGCUGUGGCAAGGUUCGGUUGCUGGAUGGGAUCAAGAUCCCAGAGUGACUGUGGGAUUCAGUCCAUGGCCAGAGGACUAAUUCCUUACUCAUUAAGUGACUGGCUGUUGUUGUCUGAGGCUCAGAUGUUCCAUGAGAGGUCUGGCUGUGACAGAGCAUGCCAUGGUCUGUGAGCAGUGAGGGUGUUGCAAAAUCAACACGGUCACCAGUAAAGCUGAAUGUUGCGAAAGGGAUCCACUCAAACACACACCUUGAUGUAAAUUGUUGUUACCUUCUUUGUCCUGUGACUCUGAUCUACUUUUGUACCUCUCUCACUUGCCUGCCAUUGGUGUCCAUUUAGUGUUGUGACCAAAGGCUUAUAAAUAAUCCCUUGGUUAAACCUUUGUCAUCGCUGCCCACCAGCAUGCUUCACGUGCCACCUUUGUACCCAGGGGCUAAGUUCAGAGGAUGUCACCAAAGAGCUGAAGAAGAUGAAUAAAUUACAUCUCUGAUAAAAUUCAAGACCUAAACAGGAAACAUUUUCUGGAGAUGUGGACGCAUUUAAAUUUUGUAAGGAGAGUGUUUAUUUACGUAUUGUUUAAUUGGUGUCUUUCCAAUAAAAGUUUGAAACUUA